GGAGAGGUGGCUGAGUGGUUGAAAGCGGCAGAUUGCUAAUCUGUUGUAUAAAAUUAAUUAUACCGAGGGUUCGAAUCCCUUCCUCUCCU
rnacentral:tRNA from 1 species